ACUCAAAGGAAUAGACGGGGGCCCGCACAAGCAGCGGAGCAUGUGGUUUAAUUCGAAGCAACGCGAAGAACCUUACCUGGACUUGACAUCCCCUGAAUAGUGCAGAGAUGCAUGAAGCCCUUCGGGGCAGGGAGACAGGUGGUGCAUGGUUGUCGUCAGCUCGUGUCGUGAGAUGUUAGGUUAAGUCCUGCAACGAGCGCAACCCCUAUUAUUAGUUGCUACCAUUAAGUUGAGCACUCUAGUGAGACUGCCCGGGUUAACCGGGAGGAAGGUGGGGAUGACGUCAAAUCAUCAUGCCCCUUAUGUCCAGGGCUACACACGUGCUACAAUGGUAGGUACAGAGAGAUGCAAGACCGCGAGGUGGAGCCAAACUCAAAAACCUAUCUCAGUUCGGAUUGUAGGCUGCAACUCGCCUACAUGAAGCCGGAGUUGCUAGUAAUCGCGAAUCAGAAUGUCGCGGUGAAUACGUUCCCGGGCCUUGUACACACCGCCCGU
rnacentral:rRNA from 1 species